rnacentral:rRNA from 1 species
UACGUAGGGGGCAAGCGUUGUCCGGAAUCAUUGGGCGUAAAGGGCGUGUAGGUGGCUCGGUAAGUCCGCUGUGAAAGUCCAGGGCUCAACCCUGGAAAGCCGGUGGAAACUGUCGAGCUCGAGUCCGGAAGAGGCGAGUGGAAUUCCUGGUGUAGCGGUGAAAUGCGCAGAUAUCAGGAGGAACACCAAUGGCGAAGGCAGCUCGCUGGGACGGUACUGACACUGAGACGCGAAAGCGUGGGGAGCAAACAGG